GCCCCUAUAGCCCAACUGGCAGAGGCAGCAGACUUAAAAUCUGCAAAGUGUGGGUUCGAAUCCCACUGGGGGCA
rnacentral:tRNA from 1 species